UAUUUUAACUUAAUCAAAAAUGACCAAGCUACAAGUAGGCAAAAUAUGAAUUGGAAGUCACUCUUACAUGUUUAUAGGAAUAAUAUUUCUACAGUCUGGUCAGAGUUUUUACCACAUAUUAUCAUACCAUGGAAGUUUUGACUAAAAUCAACAAGAUAAUCAUAAAUAUCAGCUACUGUAAUACAACGCCUCUAAAGUCCUGCUUAAUGCAAACCUUUUGAAAAGAAACUCACGGUAGUUUCAUCUUUCUUUCUGAUUCUAAAAAGGUGUAAUUCAUAUAUUUUUUCGGCUCUUACAGAAUGUUGGUUCACUUUAAAACUAUAGUUUUUCUGACUCUAAUGUCCUCCCUCCCUCCAGCUGGUUCCCCGUCCCCCCCCAGUCUGGAGCUGAUGGUGGCCACCCAGCCUCCUGUCCCGGGGCUGGGGGGGCCCACUCUGGUGUGCCUGGCUAAGGGCUUCCACCCGGCCGGGGCCGCCCUGUCCUGGUCCGAGGACGGAGCCUCUGUGAGGGGCGAGGAGGUCCGGGGGGGCGUGGCCCAGCGGCAGCCUGAUGGAAGCUACUCCCUUAGCAGCGUCCUCCUGCUGCCCUCCACAAGGUGGCGCUCAGGACACACCUUCACCUGCCAUGUGAGCCACUCUGCUCUCAGCAGCCCGCUGAGCAAGAGUGUGAGCAGCCAGCAGUGCUCCCUCUGACCGAGGACGAGAAGAUACAGGGAGCGCUACAGGAGGACGACAUGAGGAGAAAGAGAGUAGAGUACGCAACCUUUUAGCGGCUUGGUUGGCCUGAGAUCCAGGCUCAUGUCCUUCAGCUCCGAGUGAAAUACUUCACCAUGUUUUAAUGCUUUACUGUGUUCAAUAAAACUGCUUGAUCAUGA